ACGGGGCGAGCGAGCGUCGGUUUCGGGGAGAGUCAGCCCCGGCUGAGGGCGGAGCAGGCCGUGAGGGCGGCAGGCCGGGGGCGACGAAGGCCUGUAGUUGACUGAAGCGAAGCGGGACACUUCGUCACGUCGUGAGGGUCGCCGGUUUUCUGUGUGGGGGUUAACCUCGAGGGCUCACGGCGCAACUAAGGAAAUUCGUUGGGAGGCGACUGGAAAGACUUUAGGCCCGACUUCGUGCUGGCCCGGGCCAGAGCGUCAGCGGCGCGGCGCUCGGCCCCCGUCGGACGUCACGUCACGCAAGAGCCCGCGGAGCGGCGCGGACGCCCCAACCCCCCGGGCCUCUCGUCAGGCGCACGACGGUCCGCAAGUUCCUGCCGGCGCGGCCCCGGCGCUCCCCCCGACUUCCGGUUACUUUCUGCACGGGGGCCCUCCUGUGCGUCGGGCCUGCUCGCGGUGUGACGUCCUCACAGAAGGCUGCCAGAACAGGGCCUCAGACACAGAGAGAAGCAGAGACACAGGCAGAGGGAGAAGCAGGCUCCCCGCGGGGAGCCCGAUGCAGGGACUCCGAUGCAGGGACUCCAUUGGAUCCCAACCCAGGACUCCAGGAUCAAGCCCUGAGCCAAAGGCAGAUGCUCAACCACUGAGCCAUACCAGCUCCUUCUAGGUUAGAAAACACAUUCCAAGCAACAAUUACUCCCCUAGAAUUUUGUUGUUGCUGCUGUUAAGAUUGCUUCUGUGACCUAAUCCAUCAUUAUUAUGAGAGAAAAAUUUACUUUUAAUUGUUGUUUGAAAGAUUCUCAGAUUGUGUGGAUAAAAUAAAUUUGAACCUGAAACCUACUUAAAGUUCAAGCCAACGUUUACAAAUUUUGAGGAGACAUAUUCAUUCUUAACAAGAGACCAGUAAAAAAGUUUCAAACAUGGAAAUGGACAGAAAAGUACAACGAGCAAGUCUAACUUAAAUAAUCACUUAAACUUAAGUCGUGGAAGGAACGUUUAUUAUAAUAGAAGUACUUGAAAUUACAUGGGAAAAAGCUACGACAAUUGGCAGAUUAUGAUUCAAGCACCUGUAAAUUUUUAUGACACUGUAAUGUUUUAAAAAAUGUAAGAGUGGGGACUCCAUAUGCUAUUCAGUUUAGGAUAAAUUAAUAAAAUUCUGCAUAUUAUUAUCUACCUUAGUGAUAUUUUUGUGGAGUCUUCAGUUAAAUUCAAACUACUGUAAAUCAAUUCCGUAAUAGUUACUGAAAUAAAGAGAAAGAAGAUAAAACCUUGAAUAAAUGUACCCAGAAAAAAACAUUAUAGUCUUGGCAUGUUUAUAGUUCAACAGGACAUUAAGUUAGCAAUUCAGCAAAAAAUGAGCCUUCCAAAAUAUUUAAAAGUACUGAUUUAUUCUUUCAUACAACCAGACUAGUGAUUUCUUUAAAGAUCUCGUCGAUGUGUAGACAUUUAUUUCUCAUUGAAGCCCCGGAUAGUUUAUUGCACUUUAACUAGUAACCCAGGAGCUAUUUUUUUUUUUUUGAAAGAGAGGAAAACCAGUUUUUCACAGUAUUGAACACA